rnacentral:lncRNA from 1 species
CAAAAAGGAAAUUUAAACUUUAACACUUGCUGACAUAAUAACAACAUUUCGCGUCUUUUUACACACCAGACUUUUAUGUCAUGAUCAAUUAAUAGGAAUUGUUAUAUAGCUAGCGUGAACACCAAACGUGAUUGGCUGAUUUGUGGUCACGUGACUUCAGAUAAAUGCAAUGUUUCCCGCCGGACAACAAGUGAAAAAUUGUUGCCCGCCCCGACCGGCCACGUACACAAAUAAACAAAAUGGCGGCACAACUACGAUAAUUAGAAACUACGAUUUUCCAAGUUUGUGUUCAAAUAAAGAAUGUAAAAGGGAAGAAAAAUACAGAACAGGAAACAGGAUAUGCUGCCGAAACCGUUUAAGUAGGUUCUUUAAUUUUAAACUCGUUUACUCUAUAGAGUUUUUGCCACGAAAAACAAUAGUUGUAUAUGAAUGUUGUUGAAGUUGAAACUUCGUCGCUAUAUAACAAAAC